GCGUCGGUUGGGCAUUGGCAAGCCUCGGUGGCCGUAACCCACUCGCCUUUCGGCUUUGCAGGUUCAACUCCUGCCCGACGCA
rnacentral:tRNA from 1 species